UUCGGAACAGGACUGCAAAGUGCAACUCAAUUCUGUUGUGUAAUAAGAGGAACAUCAACCAUGAUAUUGCAAGAACGGUCUUGAUGUAGAAAAUGUGGACUCUCGCAGUCAGAUCAAAGUCCACAGUUCUAGAAUCAAGCCCUGAUGCCGUGAGUGUCUCCCAGCACCUGUAUGAUGUCCUCGGUGUCCUGAGCGGCGUUCUGGAACACAGACUGGCAGUGCUGCAGUCCUCCCAUGCUGCCGGUCACAAGGAUUCGUCCAUGUCUCUUUUUCUUCAUGUCUGGUAGGAAGGUUUGUAUGGUGCGGAGGGUGCCCAGCAGAUUGACGUCCAGGAUUGCAUGUAUAGUGUCCACAUCAAGUAUAGAUUGCUGGUCUGUCACAUCCAUCUGAAGUAUGGCCAUAGUGUCUUUAUGCAGUCCCCUCACACUCUCCAACAGCCGCCGCUUCUUGUCCAGGUUACGCAUGGCUUUUGUCGGGUUUGAUGCGAGAUACACAGCCAGGCUGAGUCCAAUCCCCGAAGAGCAUCCAGUAAUGAGAACAACUUUUUGCUCCAUUUCUGCUAGUAAAUAUCGGUUCACGACACAAAGGAGACGAGCGCUG